rnacentral:rRNA from 1 species
GACGAACGCUGGCGGCGUGCUUAACACAUGCAAGUCGAGCGGUAAGGCCCUUUCGGGGGUACACGAGCGGCGAACGGGUGAGUAACACGUGGGUGACCUGCCCUCAGCUCUGGGAUAAGCCUGGGAAACUGGGUCUAAUACUGGAUAUGACUCCAUGACGCAUGUUGUGGGGUGAAAGCCUUGUGCGGCUGAGGAUGGGCCCGCGGCCUAUCAGCUUGGGUGGGUGAUGGCCUACCAAGGCGACGACGGGUAGCCGGCCUGAGAGGGCGACCGGCCACACUGGGACUGAGACACGGCCCAGACUCCUACGGGAGGCAGCAGUGGGGAAUCUUGCGCAAUGGGCGAAAGCCUGACGCAGCGACGCCGCGUGAGGGAUGACGGCCUGGUU